rnacentral:rRNA from 1 species
GGGUUGUGAGGUUAAGCGACUAAGCGUACACGGUGGAUGCCCUGGCAGUCAGAGGCGAUGAAGGACGUGCUAAUCUGCGAAAAGCGUCGGUAAGGUGAUAUGAACCGUUAUAGCCGGCGAUGUCCGAAUGGGGAAACCCAGUGCAAUUCGUUGCACUAUCGUUAACUGAAUACAUAGGUUAACGAGGCGAACCGGGGGAACUGAAACAUCUAAGUACCCCGAGGAAAAGAAAUCAACCGAGAUUCCCCCAGUAGCGGCGAGCGAACGGGGAGCAGCCCGGAGUCUGAAUCAGCUUGUGUGUUAGUGGAAGCGUCUGGAAAGUCGCAGGGUACAGGGUGAUACUCCCGUACACUAAAGCACACAGGUUGUGAACUCGAAGAGUAGGGCGGGACACGUGGUAUCCUGUCUGAAUAUGGGGGGACCAUCCUCCAAGGCUAAAUACUCCUGACUGACCGAUAGUGAACCAGUACCGUGAGGGAAAGGCGAAAAGAACCCCGGCGAGGGGAGUGAAAAAGAACCUGAAACCGUGUACGUACAAGCAGUAGGAGCCUCCUUGUGGGGUGACUGCGUACCUUUUGUAUAAUGGGUCAGCGACUUAUAUUCUGUAGCAAGGUUAACCGUAUAGGGGAGCCGCAGGGAAACCGAGUCUUAACUGGGCGUUAAGUUGCAGGGUAUAGACCCGAAA